AGCGAACGCUGGCGGCGUACUUAACACAUGCAAGUCGAACGGGGAUCGUGCUGUGAGCAAUCAUGGCGCGGUCCUAGUGGCGCACGGGUGAGUAACACGUGGGCAACCUGCCCUUGAGACCGGGAUACCCCCUCGAAAGGGGGGCUAAUACCGGAUACGUUCCCCGGGUCGCGAGACCUGGGGAGGAAAGGUGGCGAAAGCUGCCGCUCUUGGAUGGGCUCGCGGCCUAUCAGCUAGUUGGUGAGGUAACGGCUCACCAAGGCGAUGACGGGUAGCUGGUCUGAGAGGACGACCAGCCACACGGGGACUGAGACACGGCCCCGACUCCUACGGGAGGCAGCAGUGGGGAAUUUUCCGCAAUGGGCGAAAGCCUGACGGAGUGACGCCGCGUGGGGAUGAAGGCCUUCGGGUUAUAAACCCCUGUCAGAGGGAAAGAAGGGUGUCGGUGUGAAUAGCACCGGCAUCUGACGGUACCUUCAGAGGAAGCCCCGGCCAAC
rnacentral:rRNA from 1 species